rnacentral:lncRNA from 1 species
AUUAAAUUAUAGAUAUUAUUAUUUUUGUUUUUUAUUUGAAUUAUUAUCAUUCCGCAAAGAUUAAUGAAUGUUUGAGCUGCAUUACAUAUGAAUCAUAAAUACAGUUGUGUUGGGUUUGUGUGUAGUUUAAGGUAUAUCUAAGGGGUGGGAGAAAGCUUUAGAUAUAUCUGAGUAAGGAAAAAAGUAAAAUAUAUUCAAGUGAUGGGAGCAGGGCUUGAAUAUAAUGAGGUGAUGGGAGCAGGGCCUCUAAUGAAAAGUGAAAGUUGAGAAAUUCGUAAACAAAAGAAAACUGGGUUAAGGGACGGAUGAACGCUAGUUCAUAUUUUAGGGUAUUCGAAGCCACAUUGGUAAAACGCAUGGUAUGAGACAUGCAUGCUUGUUUCCCUAAGGUAUGAGUUAGUGGGAUUAGAAAGGAGUGAAUUCAUGACAUCACUGCAUAUACAAGUUUAUUUAUUUGGUGUGGUUGCAUAAUUUAUGUCUCUUGUAAUUGUUUAAUGCAUGUCACUUUGAUUAGCAGUGAUAACUGACUUUGAGGGGGAAAUGUUACAGUACUCUAUUGGGUAUUAAAAUGCUCACACCCUAAUAGAUGUUGCAGGUUCCAAUGAAAAUCCUAAGGAAGAAGAAGAAGUUCCACCAUAGGUCUAGACAGGGGUGGCCCUGAGGGUGUGCAAGUGGUGCCAUCGCAC